CAAUAAGCGGAGGAAAAGAAACCAACAGGGAUUGCCUCAGUAACGGCGAGUGAAGCGGCAAAAGCUCAAAUUUGAAAUCUGGCCCUUUCAGGGUCCGAGUUGUAAUUUGUAGAGGAUGCUUCGGGAGUGGCGGCGGUCUAAGUCCCCUGGAACGGGGCGUCAUAGAGGGUGAGAAUCCCGUCUUGGAUCGCAGUGCCGUGACCAUGUGAAGCUCCUUCGACGAGUCGAGUUGUUUGGGAAUGCAGCUCUAAAUGGGUGGUAAAUUUCAUCUAAAGCUAAAUACUGGCUGGAGACCGAUAGCGCACAAGUAGAGUGAUCGAAAGGUUAAAAGCACCUUGAAAAGGGAGUUAAAUAGCACGUGAAAUUGUUGAAAGGGAAGCGCUUGCAACCAGACUCUGCCUCGGAGGCUCAGUGGACACGUGUGUCCAUGCACUCCUCCGGUGGUGGGGCCAGCAUCAGUUCUGACGGUCGGUCAAAGGCCCCUGGAAUGUAUCGUCCUCCGGGACGUCUUAUAGCCAGGGGUGCAAUGCGGCCAGUCGGGACUGAGGAACGCGCUUCGGCUCGGAUGCUGGCGUAAUGGUUGUAAGCGACCCGUCUUGAAACAC
rnacentral:rRNA from 1 species